rnacentral:rRNA from 1 species
UACGGGGGGGGCAAACGUUGUUCGGAAUUACUGGGCGUAAAGGGCUCGUAGGCGGCCAACUAAGUCAGACGUGAAAUCCCUCGGCUUAACCGGGGAACUGCGUCUGAUACUGGAUGGCUUGAGUUUGGGAGAGGGAUGCGGAAUUCCAGGUGCAGCGGUGAAAUGCGUAGAUAUCUGGAGGAACACCGGUGGCGAAGGCGGCAUCCUGGACCAACACUGACGCUGAGUGAGCGAAAGCCAGGGGAGCAAACGGG